CGGGUGAGUAACACGUAAGGAACCUACCGAUAAGCGGGGGACAACAUCCGGAAACGGGUGCUAAUACCGCAUAGGAAGUUUGUUCGCAUGAACAAACUUAGAAAGAUGGCUCUGCUAUCACUUAUCGAUGGCCUUGCGGUGCAUUAACUAGUUGGCGAGGUAACGGCUCACCAAGGUGAUGAUGCAUAGCCGACCUGAGAGGGUAAUCGGCCACAUUGGGACUGAGACACGGCCCAAACUCCUACGGGAGGCAGCAGGA
rnacentral:rRNA from 1 species